AUACGGAGGAUCCGAGCGUUAUCCGGAUUUAUUGGGUUUAAAGGGUGCGCAGGCGGGAGAUUAAGUCGGCGGUGAAAUUUUGCAGCUCAACUGUAAAAGUGCCUUCGAAACUGGUUUCCUUGAGUGUAGAUGAAGUAGGCGGAAUUUGUGGUGUAGCGGUGAAAUGCGUAGAUAUCACGAGGAACUCCGAUUGCGCAGGCAGCUUACUAAACUACUACUGACGCUCAGGCACGAAGGCGUGGGGAUCAAACAGGAUUAGAUACCCUGGUAGUCCACGCAGUAAACGAUGAUUACUAGCUGUUUGCGAUACAAUGUAAGCGGCUGAGCGAAAGCGUUAAGUAAUCCACCUGGGGAGUACGUUCGCAAGAAUGAAACUCAAAUGAAUUGGCGGGG
rnacentral:rRNA from 1 species